rnacentral:rRNA from 1 species
UACGAAGGGUGCAAGCGUUAAUCGGAAUUACUGGGCGUAAAGCGUGCGUAGACGGUUAUGUAAGUCAGAUGUGAAAGCCCCGGGCUCAACCUGGGAAUUGCAUUUGAGACUGCAUAGCUAGGGUGCGGAAGAGGGAAGCGGAAUUUCCGGUGUAGCGGUGAAAUGCGUAGAUAUCGCUUGGAACGCCGAAGGUGAAAACAGACUGCUGGGGUUGCGCCGACGCUGAGACACGAAAGCCAGGGGAGCAAACGGG